UUUAAUCACUUUAACACCUUCGGACUUUCCGAAGUGUACCAUCCUCGCACUUUGGUCAAUUUGACUAAAGUUCGAUAUUUAUUCUCCGAAAUUUUGGUAUAUUACAUUCUCCACCCCUUAAAAUAAUUUCGUCCGUGAAAUUACGCAUACCUUAGCUCGUCGAUUCGAAUAGAUGCGGAUACUCUCUCCGCAUUGACUCUUCGAGCUCCCAAGUGGCUUCUCGCACAGCAUGGUUGCUCCACUGAACUUUUACAUACGGAAUCUUGCGACUUCGCAACUUUUUCACUUCUCUAUCGAGGAUGCACACCAAGUACUCCUCGUAGGACAUAUCCUCACGUAGCUCCAC
rnacentral:lncRNA from 1 species